rnacentral:rRNA from 6 species
GCGGUGGUCCCACCUGACCCCAUGCCGAACUCAGAAGUGAAACGCCGUAGCGCCGAUGGUAGUGUGGGGUCUCCCCAUGCGAGAGUAGGACACUGCCAGGC